UUGAUUAGGUCCCUGCCCUUUGUACACACCGCCCGUCGCUGCCCGGGACUGGGCCAUUUCGAGAAAUUUGGGGAUUGCUGAUUAGCGAUUCUUACGGAUUGCUUUUUGGUGAGAACCAAUUUAAUCGCAGUGGCCUGAACCGGGCAAAAGUCGUAACAAGGUGGCUGUAGGUGAACCUGCUGCCGGAUCAUUAACGAU
rnacentral:rRNA from 1 species